rnacentral:rRNA from 1 species
GGUGAGACCCCCGUAUAUGGUGCGGACGCCCAGCGCUUUGUGAUACAUUUUCGAAGAGUCGAGUUGUUUGGGAAUGCAGCUCAAAUUGGGUGGUAAAUUCCAUCUAAAGCUAAAUAUUGGCGAGAGACCGAUAGCGAACAAGUACCGUGAGGGAAAGAUGAAAAGCACUUUGGAAAGAGAGUUAACAGUACGUGAAAUUGUUGGAAGGGAAACGCUUGAAGUCAGACUUGCUUGCCGAGCAAUCGGUUUGCAGGCCAGCAUCAGUUUUCCGGGAUGGAUAAUGGUAGAGAGAAGGUAGCAGUUUCGGCUGUGUUAUAGCUCUCUGCUGGAUACAUCUUGGGGGACUGAG